UGUCCGGAUCCAGGUGGUCUUGCCGGUCAGAGGGAUACAAGCAGAGCUCCUGGACGGACGCACAGCGUAACAGCUCAAAAGCUGAGACCAGAAUGGUGGAGGACGAGGACCACUUCCCAUUCAACAUGAGUGACUUUGUGACAUUAGAUGAAGAAGGAGAUGUUACCGACCUUCCGUGUUCUCCUGCUGUUGUUCCCAUGGAAACCACAGACAGGGAGGAGGAGGAUGCUCCCACAUCUGUCCCUCAGGACACUACAGGGGACGCACCCAUGGAGGUUGCCAGAGAAACAGCAGUAUCGGAUGCCAC